AGAGUUUGAUCAUGGCUCAGGAUGAACGCUAGCUACAGGCUUAACACAUGCAAGUCGAGGGGAAACGAUAGAGAAAGCUUGCUUUUUCUAGGCGUCGACCGGCGCACGGGUGAGUAACGCGUAUCCAACCUGCCCACCACUUGGGGAUAACCUUGCGAAAGUAAGACUAAUACCCAAUGACGUCUCUAGAAGACAUCUGAAAGGGAUUAAAGAUUUAUCGGUGAUGGAUGGGGAUGCGUCUGAUUAGCUUGUUGGCGGGGUAACGGCCCACCAAGGCUACGAUCAGUAGGGGUUCUGAGAGGAAGGUCCCCCACAUUGGAACUGAGACACGGUCCAAACUCCUACGGGAGGCAGUAGUGAGGAAUAUUGGUCAAUGGGCGAGAGCCUGAACCAGCCAAGUAGCGUGCAGGAUGACGGCCCUAUGGGUUGUAAACUGCUUUUAUAAGGGAAUAAAGUGAGCCUCGUGAGGCUUUUUGCAUGUACCUUAUGAAUAAGGACCGGCUAAUUCCGUGCCAGCAGCCGCGGUAAUACGGAAGGUCCGGGCGUUAUCCGGAUUUAUUGGGUUUAAAGGGAGCGUAGGCCGGAAAUUAAGCGUGUUGUGAAAUGUAGGUGCUCAACAUCUGCACUGCAGCGCGAACUGGUUUCCUUGAGUACGCACAAAGUGGGCGGAAUUCGUGGUGUAGCGGUGAAAUGCUUAGAUAUCACGAAGAACUCCGAUUACGAAGGCAGCUCACUGGAGCGCAACUGACGCUGAAGCUCGAAAGUGCGGGUAUCGAACAGGAUUAGAUACCCUGGUAGUCCGCACGGUAAACGAUGGAUGCCCGCUGUUGGUCUGAAUAGGUCAGCGGCCAAGCGA
rnacentral:rRNA from 1 species